rnacentral:lncRNA from 1 species
GGGGGGAGGUGUUGACAGAAUCAGCUGGCGCAGUGACAUUUUCGUGCUCGCCACUGGCGUGUAACGUGCGCUGAAAGCUCGCCGAUUCAAACCUGGUCAGCUUUCAGCGCAAGGCGGAACGCAGCUGGUCUAGUAGUAUUUUGGUAGACCGGCGGCGUAUCGACAUACGUCACCGAUGCCUCACUGGCAGGUUUCCACAGUGUCAGGCACAUUUCAGUGCAAUAAAUAAUCAUCAACAACUAUUAAUCUGAGUCAGCACAUACAUUUAGAUCUAUAUCGAUAUAUUCUGAUCUAUAUCUGAUCUGAUGAGCGCGUUUGGCACGCGUUUGGCACGCGUUUGGGCACACAACCUGACCGAAUCAAUACAGCUGAAACUGCAUCAAAUUAAAUUAAAUAUCUAGUAAAUAAACACACAUGAUGAAGUUAACAAGAUAUGUAAUGUGUCUCUCUCCUUUUCUUUCUUCCUCUUAUUUCUCGCACAGCUCGACCUGGACACGUCUCCGUGUCCUCUGUCCGUCUUCCUGCUGCUGCUGCGGCUGAACAGAUGAUUUGUUUCAGUGCUCAGAUGCGUUAUCUACUUUAAGCCGACAUACGGAAAUUAUAAUAUUCAGUUUUGUGAGCCAAAUUUAUUUUAUAUGCCAACAUCUAUGAAAGA